rnacentral:lncRNA from 1 species
GUCAAAUGGGUUUUUAGUCUGAAGGAAAGUACUAACCCUGUGGGGAGAGAUUCCAAAGUUUUUACCAUUCACAUAGAUUUGUGGGUAGGCUCUUUCGUGGUACACACAACUGCUUGGUUCUAGUUUGAGUUUUUUCACACUACAAAAGGCACUUGACUGGGUUUGAUAAACAUAUGGUGGAUAGACCAAGACUUGUGAGGCCAUACCUUCAUAGAUCGGGCCGCGCUGGCGUCCGAGCCGGAGCUGCCGCCGCCGCGCUGGGCAUGUCCGGGAGCGCCGCGGGGAAGCGCCGCGCGGGCCGCGCUUAGCCGCUCAGCCCCGCCGCUCCGGCCGCUGCCAUCUUGUCCUGGCGGCUGGGAGGGAAGAGCCCCGGCUCAGCCCGCUCGGCAGCCCGGGCCUCCGCCUCAUCUUCCCGGGGAGGGACCCAGCCCGCCCCCGGCCGCCGCCUCCUCCGCCUCCGC